rnacentral:rRNA from 1 species
AUACGAAGGGGGCUAGCGUUGUUCGGAUUUACUGGGCGUAAAGCGCACGUAGGCGGAUUGAUUAGUUAGGGGUGAAAUCCCGAGGCUCAACCUCGGAACAGCCUCUAAAACUGUCAAUCUCGAGACCGGAAGAGGUGAGUGGAACUCCUAGUGUAGAGGUGGAAUUCGUAGAUAUUAGGAAGAACACCAGUGGCGAAGGCGGCUCACUGGUCCGGUACUGACGUUGAGGUGCGAAAGCGUGGGGAGCGAACAGGAUUAGAUACCCUAGUAGUCC